GGAUAGCUGACUUGCGGUAGCGGAGUGUUCAUAGCGGCGUUGCUUCAUUACUCUUUAAUGUCGGCGCUUUCCACC
rnacentral:rRNA from 1 species